AUGACUCAGAUGAAAUAAAUAAUUUUGAUGGUAUUGACCUUCUUCCAGAGAGCUAUAUAACUGAUAUUGAUAUCAGAAGAGUAAACCAAGAUAGCACUUUGAAUACAUUGGGGAAUAAAUUACUUGAAUUAUGUUCGUCCUCAAGGCUUCGUAUACUUAAUGGUCGUUUUUUGGGAGAUUCCCUGGGAUAUUUUACUUAUAUGUGUAAUACUGGGUUCAGUACAGUUGAUUAUGCUAUUGCAAGUGAGAGUCUCCUGCCUGAGGUAAAAUACUUUAAAACAAAUGACUUUACAUAUUUAUCAGA
rnacentral:lncRNA from 1 species